rnacentral:rRNA from 1 species
AUUGAACGCUGGCGGCAUGCCUAACACAUGCAAGUCGAACGAGUGGCGGAAGGGUUAGUAAUGUCUGUGAACCUUCCCGAUGGAUGGGUAUAACUACGGGUAACGGUUACUACUACCGCCUUCCCUCGGCUAUGCCCAGAUGGGACUAUCUUGUUGGUGGGGUAACGGCUCACCAAGGCGACGAUCCCUAGCUGGUCUGCGAGGAUGACCAGCCAAACUGGAACUGAGACACGGUCCAGACUCCUACGGGAGGCAGCAGUGGGGAAUAUUGGACAAUGGGGGAAAGCCUGAUGCAGCCAUGCCGCGUGUGUGAAGAAGGCCUUCGGGUUGUAAAGUACUUUCAGCGGGGAGGCGUUACCCGCAGAAGAAGCACCGGCUAACUCCGUGCCAGCAGCCGCGGUAAUAC